CCUACGGGUGGCAGCAGUGGGGAAUAUUGCACAAUGGGGGAAACUCUGAUGCAGCGACGCCGCGUGAGUGAAGAAGUAAUUCUGUAUGUAAAGCUCUAUCAGCAGGGAAGAAAAUGACGGUACGUGAGUACGACUCCCCGGCUAACUACGUGCCAGCAGCCGCGGUAAUACGUAGGGGGCAAGCGUUAUCCGGAUUUACUGGGUGUAAAGGGAGCGUAGACGGAAGGGCAAGUCUGGAGUGAAAGGCGCGGGCUUAACCCCCGGACUGCUCUGGAAACUGUGCGGCUGGAGUGCAGGAGAGGUAAGUGGAAUGCCUGGUGUAGCGGUGAAAUGCGUAGAGAUUAGGAGGAACACCAGUGGCGAAGGCGGCUUACUGGACUGUAACUGACGUUGAGGCUCGAAAGCGUGGGGAGCAAACAGGAUUAGAUACCCGUGUAGUC
rnacentral:rRNA from 1 species